UACGUAGGGUGCAAGCGUUGUCCGGAAUUAUUGGGCGUAAAGAGCUCGUGGGCGGUUUGUCACGUCGGAUGUGAAAACCCGAGGCUUAACCUCGGGCCUGCAUUCGAUACGGGCUGACUAGAGUUCGGUAGGGGAGACUGGAAUUCCUGGUGUAGCGGUGAAAUGCGCAGAUAUCAGGAGGAACACCGGUGGCGAAGGCGGGUCUCUGGGCAGUAACUGACGCUGAGGAGCGAAAGCGUGGGGAGCGAACAGG
rnacentral:rRNA from 1 species